UCUCCGUAGGUGAACCUGCGGAGGGAUCAUUACAGAGUUCAUGCCCUACCGGGUAGAUCUCCCACCCUAUGUUAUUAUUACUUUGUUGCUUUGGCGGGCCGUUAGGCUCCGGCCCGACUACCGGCCCCGGCUGGUAAGCGCCCGCCAGAGGACCCAAACCCUGAAUAUUAGUGUCGUCUGAGUACUAUAUAAUAGUUAAGACUUUCAACAACGGAUCUCUUGGUUCUG
rnacentral:misc_RNA from 1 species